AAAUGAUCAAAUAUAUUAAAAUAUGAAAAAUGUUUGUGUAGUGUCUUCAAUAUCUGAUACGUCCCCCAUCCGGGGACUACAUAUUAAAUGGAUUUUUAGAUCACGGAGCUGGAGCCGGGGCUUGCUCCGUCCACUCCAUGCAUCGGCCUGGUAUUGCAGUGUCUCCAGGAACGGUGUGCUUUCC
ensembl:snRNA U2 U2 spliceosomal RNA